UACAGAGGGUGCGAGCGUUAAUCGGAAUUACUGGGCGUAAAGCGCGCGUAGGUGGCAAUGCAAGUCGGGUGUGAAAUCCCCGGGCUCAACCUGGGAACUGCAUUCGAGACUGCAUCGCUUGAGUAUGGGAGAGGGAAGUGGAAUUUCCGGUGUAGCGGUGAAAUGCGUAGAUAUCGGAAGGAACAUCAGUGGCGAAAGCGACUUCCUGGACCAAUACUGACACUCAAGUGCGAAAGCGUGGGGAGCAAACAG
rnacentral:rRNA from 1 species